UUAUAAGAGACAGCAGCCGCCACGGUAAUACGUAGGGUGCAAGCGUUAAUCGGAAUUACUGGGCGUAAAGCGUGCGCAGGCGGUUCGUUAAGUCUGUUGUGAAAGCCCCGGGCUCAACCUGGGAAUGGCAAUGGAUACUGGCGAGCUAGAGUGUGUCAGAGGAUGGUGGAAUUCCCGGUGUAGCGGUGAAAUGCGUAGAGAUCGGGAGGAACAUCAGUGGCGAAGGCGGCCAUCUGGGACAACACUGACGCUGAGGCACGAAAGCGUGGGGAACAAACAGGAUUAGAUACCCCAGUAGUCCCUGUCUCUUAUAC
rnacentral:rRNA from 1 species